rnacentral:rRNA from 1 species
CGGAGGAUCCAAGCGUUAUCCGGAAUCAUUGGGUUUAAAGGGUCCGUAGGCGGUUUAGUAAGUCAGUGGUGAAAGCCCAUCGCUCAACGGUGGAACGGCCAUUGAUACUGCUAAACUUGAAUUAUUAGGAAGUAACUAGAAUAUGUAGUGUAGCGGUGAAAUGCUUAGAGAUUACAUGGAAUACCAAUUGCGAAGGCAGGUUACUACUAAUGGAUUGACGCUGAUGGACGAAAGCGUGGGUAGCGAACAGGAUUAGAUACCCUGGUAGUCCACGCCGUAAACGAUGGAUACUAGCUGUUGGGGGCAACUUCAGUGGCUAAGCGAAAGUGAUAAGUAUCCCACCUGGGGAGUACGUUCGCAAAAAUG